AAGCUGGCAUUUAUUUGUAACAAUCUUGUCCAUGAAAGAUAUUUAUAACUAUUUUAGUUUGACUUUUACUUCUUAUUUUCUUUAAAUUUUGCAGAGUUCAUAUAAAGUAAAGACCUGGGCUGAGAAUAGAAAGUGAGUAAGGAUGCAGGUGUGUAUAUGCCUUUCAAAUACUUGGUUGGAAACAGAAGACUGUUCCUGUCUUGCUCAUAUGGCCGGUUGUGAGUGAAUCAACCCCAGAAUCUCACCCUCAGAUGUACUUUCGGGGACCACUUCUGUCACCACUUCUCUGAGGUGAGAAGAGAAGCACCUCAAGAAAGCAGAGCUUAAGAAAGAUUUGUGUGCAGUGACUUAUUAAGAGAGUACUCUUCAAAAGAAAGGAAAGCAGGAAAGGGCAGAGGAAGAAGAUAGGCAAAGAUGUGAUCUCAAAAGAAGUCUAGCCUUAGCUUGAUCCCAUAGGGAGAUCUGGGAUGUGAAUGGUACCACAGAAUUAUUCCUUUUAUGGGACAGUCCCUCUGCGAGACCAAAAUGGAAUGGCUUGACUUUUGUAACCUUGUAUUUGUUACUUAACUGUGUGGGCCUCCCAAGUUGGUUGAUUCUUAUAACCCAGAUAUUACUGGGCAAAGAGACUCACUGACAGGAGUUCC